UAACAAGGAUUCCCCUAGUAACUGCGAGUGAAGCGGGAAGAGCUCAAAUUUAAAAUCUGGCAGUCUUCUGGCUGUCCGAGUUGUAAUCUGGAGAAGCGUUUUCUGUGUUAGACCGUGUACAAGUCUCCUGGAACGGAGCGUCAUAGAGGGUGAGAAUCCCGUCCAUGACACGGACUACUAAUACUUUGUGAUACGCUCUCGAAGAGUCGAGUUGUUUGGGAAUGCAGCUCAAAAUGGGUGGUAAAUUCCAUCUAAAGCUAAAUACAGGCGAGAGACCGAUAGCGAACAAGUACCGUGAGGGAAAGAUGAAAAGCACUUUGGAAAGAGAGUUAAACAGUACGUGAAAUUGUUGAAAGGGAAACGCUUGAAGUCAGUCGCGCUGUGCAGAACUCAGCCUUGCCUCGGCUUGGUGUACUUUCUGCACAACGGGUCAACAUCAAUUUUGGCCCAUGGAGAAAGGUGGGGGGAAUGUAGCGCUGUUUCGGCAGCGUGUUAUAGCCCUCUAUUGUAUACAUGGGCUGGGAUUGAGGAUCGCAGCACGCCCUUGUGGCCGGGGGUUCGCCCUACGUACCGUGCUUGGGAUGUUGGCAGAAUGGCUUUAAGCGACCCGUCUUGAAACACGGACCAAGGAGUCUAACAUGCUUGCGAGUGUUCGGGUGGAAAACCCUUGUGCGUAAUGAAAGURAAAGUUGGGAACCUCCGCAAGGGGGUGCACCGACGCCCGGCCCUGACGUUCUCUGACGGUGCUGCGGUAGAGCAAGUAUGCUAGGACCCGAAAGAUGGUGAACUAUGCCUGAAUAGGGCGAAGCCAGAGGAAACUCUGGUGGAGGCUCGUAGCGAUUCUGACGUGCAAAUCGAUCGUCAAAUUUGGG
rnacentral:rRNA from 1 species